CAAGAGCGUGGAGCAUGUGGCUUAAUUUGACUCAACGCGGGGAAUCUUACCGGGUCCGGACACACUGAGGUUGACAGACAGUUGUCUUUCCCUCCCUUCGGGGUGGGAUUACAAAAGAUAACAGAUCUUUCAUGAUCAUGUGAUGGGUGGUGCAUGGCCGUUCUUAGUUCGUGGAGUGAUCUGUCUGCUUAAUUGCGUUUCAAAUUUUAUAUUUGUUAACAUGCGAGUCUUCAAUGACGGCCGCUCCACCUUAUAGACAUUAUAUGAUAUGCACAUUUGUGUAUUUGAUUAUAACUUGUCUGGAGUCUGGCUCGAUUUUUUUGACUCAAUUGAACGCAACGGACGUGAUUGCAAGUCCUUGUUGAACAAAUUAUAUAUAUACUACUUCAUCAUUAGUAUAUAUAGUUCGCUUCUCAUGUCGUACAGUCAAACGGGCGGGCGUCUUAAUUGGCGC
rnacentral:rRNA from 1 species